rnacentral:lncRNA from 1 species
UCCCUAAGAUUCAUAUGAAAAUAAAAAAAAGUACAGUGAGUUCCUAUGAAAAUUACCUGUGUACAGAUGCAGUAAGAAAUAUCUGCGAUUAGGGUGCGUAGUCGUCAAGAUUUUCGGAAGUCUUUAUACAGUUCAUUACUUCAAGACUAUCCUUGAAGCAUACUUGUUUAGUAAAUGGUGUAAAAAGGAAUGACAUAAAAUUGCAUGAUUUUUAUUCUGAAGUAGGUUAGGGGAAUUGCUGAUGCAACUACUUAUUUAAUGUAAAAUUCCAAUUGCCAAUUGUUUUUGCUGAUGCAUCCUCCUUGUGUUCUCUUUGAGUAUAUUCUGGUGGUGCUGUUUUCUUGUUACCUCUUCCUGCUGUAGUUACUCAAAAACAUCUCCGAUUCACUAUAGUUGUUGCAUCAAUUUCUCUUCAAGUACUGCUGAAAUCAUCUUCUUCUAUCCCCUUGUGCGUUAGAUGGCAGUGUGCUCUGCAAUUCUGUUACUUUUGGAAAUUCUACAUUUGAUAUAUUUGAAUUAGUAAUCAGCUGGUAUUUGAUGGUUCGUUUAAUUGAAAUAUUCUUUCUUCUUCAGUGUUGCUUAAGUUUUCUCAUUGCAGGUUCUCUUAUAACAACAAAUGUUUGUCUAACAAACUAACCUUCAAAAGGGAUGCAUCUUUCUUUUGUCUGGUAUGCAAGAACGUACCAGGGAAGCAUGCUGAAGAAUGUACUUUAUUGAAAUUACAUCUAUCAUAAUCUUUUUGUAAUUUUGUACAAACUUUGUUCCUAGACAGAUUAGGUACCGACGGGGAACAAAUCAAAGAAAUUUUUGAUGAACAAUUUGGUAUUGGAGAAUGAACGAGGAAUUGAAAGUAAACACAGAGUUAAGAAGCAAACGAACGGCCACUCACCAAAAGAGAAGAGAAAUGAGAGGGAACUAAAAUCAGAGAAAGUUGGGGAUGUUCCUUUCAAAUUGCAGAGAAGAAACGAUAUGGGUAAAUGAACACGGGGAAAGCUAAAAGAAGAGUAUUACCAUUUUGCCUAUACAGAUCUUUGCAGUGUUGAGUACAUAUCUUUGCAAUCUUACUGAAC